UGGGGGAUAUUGCGCAAUGGGGGCAACCCUGACGCAGCAACGCCGCGUGAAGGAUGAAGGUUUUCGGAUUGUAAACUUCUUUUAUUAAGGACGAAAAUUGACGGUACUUAAUGAAUAAGCUCCGGCUAACUACGUGCCAGCAGCCGCGGUAAUACGUAGGGAGCAAGCGUUGUCCGGAUUUACUGGGUGUAAAGGGUGCGUAGGCGGCUUUGCAAGUCAGAUGUGAAAUCUAUGGGCUCAACCCAUAAACUGCAUUUGAAACUGUAGAGCUUGAGUGAAGUAGAGGCAGGCGGAAUUCCCCGUGUAGCGGUGAAAUGCGUAGAGAUGGGGAGGAACACCAGUGGCGAAGGCGGCCUGCUGGGCUUUAACUGACGCUGAGGCACGAAAGCGUGGGUAGCAAACAGGAUUAGAUACCCUGGUAGUCCACGCUGUAAACGAUGAUUACUAGGUGUGGGGGGUCUGACCCCUUCCGUGCCGGAGUUAACACAAUAAGUAAUCCACCUGGGGAGUACGGCCGCAAGGUUGAAACUCAAAGGAAUUGACGGGGGCCCGCACAAGCAGUGGAGUAUGUGGUUUAAUUCGAAGCAACGCGAAGAACCUUACCAGGUCUUGACAUCCAACUAACGAAGUAGAGAUACAUUAGGUGCCUUUCGGGGAAAGUUGAGACAGGUGGUGCAUGGUUGUCGUCAGCUCGUGUCGUGAGAUGUUGGGUUAAGUCCCGCAACGAGCGCAACCCUUGCUAUUAGUUGCUACGCAAGAGCACUCUAAUAGGACUGCCGUUGGCAAAACGGAGGAAGGUGGGGACGACGUCAAAUCAUCAUGCCCCUUAUGACCUGGGCUACACACGUACUACAAUGGAUGUUAACAGAGGGAAGCAAGACAGUGAUGUGGAGCAAACCCCUAAAAACAUUCUCAGUUCAGAUUGCAGGCUGCAACCCGCCUGCAUGAAGAUGGAAUUGCUAGUAAUCGCGGAUCAGAAUGCCGCGGUGAAUACGUUCCC
rnacentral:rRNA from 1 species